GAAUGAGAUUGGUGUCGAAUUUCCUCAGUCAGUGUACUUCUCAUAUCCCCAGUUCUCCUCCUAUUCAAUUCUUCUCUCUCAGAUGUAACGACGACGACUGCUGAUUGUCUUAUGUUCAUCUACACCUUGAUUUUCCGUUCGAUUCUUUUUCUCAUCUAUUUCACCCAUAUCCUUAAUGGAUGGAUGCUCUCGGCGUUUAUUCCCUACCUCAACACUUUGUCAAUUUUUCUAUAAUCCUUCUCUAUUCAAUUAGUGCUUCACCAAUUCCAUUCAAACAUCGAUUUCCAACUGACCACCACCCAAAAGCAAAAAGAUCCGCCCGAUUCUCCGCUGCCACAAUAUUCACGUCUUCCAUAUGAAAUUCAUCGGCCUAAUAAAAGUCCCUUUGGACAGUUUUCCCAUCAGAUGUGAAAAUUACAUAGCCUUGCAUCUCAUUCUGUUUACAGAUUAUCUCCAUAGAUAAAAUACGAAAAGAACUAAGCGACAUCACUAACAACAAACCGUGGCCUUCGACAUUGAGAAGGUUAGUCAACCACUUGAAUAGAUUGAAAAGAAGUAUAUAUCAGUAAAGGCUAUAUGUAGGACAAAGAAGCAUGAAAACAAGUGGCUCAGGUUUACUCUUGAACUUACAUUUAACCAAUUUGAAUUUGUGAAGUUCAUUUGGUGCCUUCAAACUGGAAUCCUAGAAAAUUAGUUCAAUGGAUGAGCUAAAGUGUAAAUUUUAUGUGGAUUAUAAAAAAAUUUAAAUUUUAACUUUGCUAUGUAUGUGAUUUUGAGGAUUGAUUAACUGAUCCAGUUUAUCAAACAACAUUUGCUCUUCAAAAAUCAGUUGACUUCUAGUGUUGAGGGGUUGGUAUUGUUCAAGACAACAAUAAUAAGCUAUUCCAUUCUCAAGUCAUCCAGUCAAAUUUAUAGACUUAUAUCUCAUAUUUGUGUGAAAUUAAUGUCUAAAUAACAGUUAGGUUUUCAUAUGAAAGUCAUUUUGUGCAUGUAGUUUUGAUGUAUAUCAUUGAACAUCAAGAUUUUAUAAAAUCAUGGGUGUUGGGAUGGUGAUAUGAGUGAUGUGUGUAAGUGUGUUUGGGGGUUAUUUGUGACCUUUUAUUUCUUGAUAAGAUAGAAAUUCUUUUUGAAGUUUAGAUGAAAACUAUAUUUUCAUCCCUUGUGGAAUAAGUUUAUUUGUUAGCUGCUCUCUGUCUAUAUAUGCAAAUCUCUUAUCUUUUCUCUAUCUAGGGUUUCUUUCUCUCUCCACGACUUCAAAAUUUGUCUCCCACACCAUCAUCUUUUGAUUAUGGCUAGGAUUCGAUUGCCACCAGAAGACAACGAUAUCUCAUAGGUACGACUACCGGUAACCGCCAAUCUGAUCUCCGAUGACGACCGCUCUGUUGCUGCCGACUCUUGGUCCAUCAAAAGUGACUACAGAAGUACUCUUGACGAUGAUCAGCGUCAUGUUGACAUAUUAGAAGUUCUCGGUAUGCAAUGGUGUUACCAAACUUUUUCCUACCAAAAUCCACAAUUACAGAUAGCAGAUUGAAAGCAAAAUAAACAUUGAAAGAGACAAAGCUACAGGUAAUUGCCUCUUUCCAAUUCCAUAACUUCGCACACAGUAAGCUUCAAAAACUUUUAAUAUCAUAGAAUGAAAAAUUUAUCUUGUAGAAUGAAGAGUAAUCCCGUUGGUUUUAUAAACCUAGGGGUUUAUACAAGGGAGGAGGAGCCGUUCCGUUCCGUCCCGACCCACCCCACCAAACCCACUACCACAUCAAUUUUUGUCUUUUUUUUAUAUUUCCCAACCAACAACACAUAUAAAUCAUUUCUUUUUGAACCCACUCAAUUAAAAAUAUACAAGUUUUAAAACAUAUGGUACAAAAGAAAAUAAGAAAGAGAAAGUAAAAAGAGAUAAUUAAGUGGGUUAGUGAAACCAAUCAAUCCACUCGUUGAAAUGGGAGUGGUACCGUCAAUAACUCUAUUGUAAAUUAAGAUUUUACAUUUGAUUGUUUUGUAUUUUUUUAAUUGAGUGGGUUGAGUGGAUUAAAAAAGAUAGGGUUUUCGCGUGUUGUGGGUUCGGAAAGAUAAAGAAAAAUAAAAGUGAAAAAGUGAUGUGGCAGUGGGUUCAGUGGGUUGGGAGGGAAUGACUCCCUCCUCCCUAAACCCUAAGGAAUCACAAUAUGUGGUUUAGUUUUUCAGAUUUCGCACUAUGCUAGAAUUUGUAAAAAAAACAAAAAUUCAAUUAGAAUUUGAAGUGUAGUGAAGAAUGGAAAGUAAGACAAAAAUAUUCGUUCAGAAUGGAUUAGCAUGUUUUUCUGUUAGAAUAGAUUAGCAACAAUAUUCUAUUAGAAUGUAUUAGUGUUUUAUUUAGAUUUCAAUGUUUUUUAUUUGACUUUUAAUCAUUUUCAAUUUUAUUCUUUAAGAAUAAAUGUAAUUGUUAACCAUUAUUACU